UACGGAGGGUGCAAGCGUUGUCCGGAAUCACUGGGCGUAAAGGGCGCGUAGGCGGCUCACGAAGGCUGUGGUGAAAGUCCGGGGCUCAACCUCGGAUCGGCCGUGGCGACUCGUGGGCUGGAGCACUGUAGAGGCGGGUGGAAUUCCCGGUGUAGCAGUGAAAUGCGUAGAGAUCGGGAGGAACACCAGUGGCGAAGGCGGCCUUCUGGACCAGUACUGACGCUCAUGCACGAAAGCGUGGGGAGCAAACAGG
rnacentral:rRNA from 1 species